rnacentral:misc_RNA from 1 species
UUGACAGAUAAAAAAGAAAAAUCGAAACUUUCAAGGGAUAAUUUUAUUUUAUUUUGAUUCCUGAGAAAACCAGGAAAAUCAAUAAGGUGCAGGUUCGAAUCUUGUGAUCAGAAGUCCUAAAAAGUGAACAAGAAACCAAAAUUUCUUUGCUUUUCCUGCUUUUCUCGGCAACCAAAUGGCUACGGAUGUAAAUCAUUUAUGU